rnacentral:rRNA from 1 species
AUUGAACGCUGGCGGCAGGCCUAACACAUGCAAGUCGAGCGGAUGAAGGGAGCUUGCUCCUGGAUUCAGCGGCGGACGGGUGAGUAAUGCCUAGGAAUCUGCCUGGUAGCGGGGGAUAACGUCCGGAAACGGGCGCUAAUACCGCCUACGUCCUGAAGGAGAAAGUGGGGGAUCUUCGGACCUCACGCUAUCAGAUGAGCCUAGGUCGGAUUAGCUAGUUGAUGGGGUAAUGGCCUACCAAGGCGACGAUCCGUAACUGGUCUGAGAGGAUGAUCAGUCACACUGGAACUGAGACACGGUCCAGACUCCUACGGGAGGCAGCAGUGGGGAAUAUUGGAAGAUGGGCGAAAGCCUGAUCCAGCCAUGCCGCGUGGGUGAAGAAGGUCUUCGUAGUGUAAAGCACUUUAAGUUGGGAGGAAGGGCAGUAAGUUAAUACCUGGCUGUUUUGACGUUACCAACAUAAUAAGCACCGGCUAACUUCGUG